rnacentral:sRNA from 1 species
UAUCUCUCCGUACGGGAAGGAUGAGAAGCUUCGACUAAGGUUCGAUUCGAGCGCAGCGAGAAAGCGUUGCCAACGGCAACGACCCGAAGGGUGAAGCGCGCAGCGCUGAGUAAUCCUUCCCCCACCACCA